rnacentral:lncRNA from 1 species
ACUACCCAACCUCCUCCACUUUCUAUCACCUGCUGGUGCCUCUCAUUGACUACAUCUACUUGCUCUCUUGUCCUGUCUUCCAGGUGAAGACAAGCAGGUGAUCUUCUCUGAACACAGGACAGAGUGAAGAAGUUCUCAGGGAAGGGCUGACCCUCCAAAGAUGUCAUUUCUUACAAGGACAUCUCCACUUUGAUACAUGAAGCUAUCUUUCUCUCCUUGGAUCUGAUUCCUGAACGCUGUCACCAUGUACCAAUGCUCUCAUAUCCUGAUUGAGUUGGAAGAAGGAAGCUUGAGUCCCAGUUACUUCAUGCAAUGGUGUGUGCUGUGCAUCAGGAAGUCUACUGGCCUGUGAGCUGACCUUCUCAUAGUCAACUCACCUUCUGUCCACACACCAUUUGCAUGGAAUCCCCCACACAAAUACCACUAUCAGGAUCCUAACUGGAGAUAGAAUCCAUCUCUGAUUACCCAUAGGCAUGGGCAGGGUUGAGGGAACUAACAAGAAGUUGGCAUGUCCCUCUACAGUCUCAGGGCUUCAUGACCACCCCAACUCUCCCAGAGCUGAGAGGACAGAGAAGUAACCAGUGCUCCUGGGCCUGACUGAGCUGUUAUCAUGGAAGCCGAAGUCAUAAAGGGAAGUGGCCCCUGGCUGGGGAGAAGGCAACUGACUACCCUCCCUCCACUUGUCUUUCCGUCACCUGCUGGUGCCUCUCAUUGACUACAUCUACUCACUCUCUUGCCCUGUCUUCUAGGUGAAGACAAACAGAUGAUCCUCUCUGAGCACAGGACAGAGUGAAAAAUGAUAGGCUAGAUCUCUGGAGGCAAACCAAAUAAUCAGCACACCCACUCAGAGAUCCUGCUGUCAGCCUAUUUUUGGCCUGUGUUCGACUAUAGAGAGGAAGAUUGACCCUUUCUGGUAUCAGAAAUGUAUAUGAUCCUCCCUACCAUUGGAAUCCCCUGCACUAGGGUGGCCCCUGCAUACUUAGAGCCUCUAUUUUUACUGUGGUCUCCCUGCCUUAGUCAUAAGGAGAUUCCCUCCACAUUGUGCCUGAUACAGUUGUCCUAUCCGAUCUCACCACCAUUGCUGCCAUCAUUGAUACUCUCCUGCUGGGGCCUCUUCCUGCUUAAGUUCUUUUCUGUUCUGCUGCUGUGACUGACAUCGACUCUAUACCUCCUGUCCCCACUACUACAUUAAAGCCCCUUGUGGACAAGAGAUCAAAAAUUAAGUGUGAUAUUCUCAAUGCAGUGAGAAUAUUCCUGGUUUUUCUCAGUUCUCACUGGAACGUAGUUCUCCGACUGGUUCUCUGUACAAUUAAAGAAAGCUGCAUGCGAGCAGGCGAAACUAUGGCUUAAAAGGCUGAAGGUGCAGGGAUCUGAACUCAAUUCUGGGACAGCUGCUUCAUUAACAGAAAUUAGCAUCUUGGAAGUAUCUCCUAUCCUAGGGCUUGUUCUUUGUGGAUACAGAAGAUGCCCGGGGAUUCUUUCUACAUCCCUUGGGUUCUUUGCCAUUUUCACAGCCACUGGCUCCCGACACUUUGCCUCUUAACAGCCAGUGCUCUAUCGUUGAAGGAUGGGCCUCAGGCUGCCUUGACUGCACACAUGGAGAAUCAGGUGCUUUUUAACUAACAACUGAAGGAUGCAGGGAAAAUCCCUCAGCUUAAGGCUCUUCCCUGAGGAUGACCAUGGCACUUCCAGCUGCAGGUCUGGGGUGGCUGCUCAUCUCUUGAACCACUGUCCUCCCAGGAUUAAAGGAGAGAAAGCAGACAAGGAGAGCCUCAGGUCAUGAUGCAGAUAUAAGGUCUGAAGCCCCAGUGAUGUGCUCCAAAGACUGCUCAAAGCUAUGCUGCAUUGGGCAGAAAUGGCCAGGCACUACUACCCCUACUGUGCUCAGUCAUCAGCUGGAUUUGCUUGGGGAGACCACAGUGACAAGUGCUGCGAUGGAUCCCAAAGGCACUGCAGCUACCUGCCAUCCUACAGCUGAAUGGCAAGGCUUGCCUUGAAAAGCAAUUCAAGCAGCCCAUCUCCAGGGCUGUCACAUGGAGCUCUCUUUAACCCAUCCUUCCCCCUCUGAAUGCUGGGAGAAGCUAAAUGCUGGCAGUCUUCCUCCAGCUUCAAAUCCAAUUAAGUUCACUGGAGAAUCUGGGCAAUGCCUCCAGAUAACAUUCCUACUUCCAGCCUGGACAGUGUCACACAGUAGUAGCCCUCCUACAAAUCUGUGGUGCUAAUAGCAGUCAUAAU